GCCGGGGGUUCCCAGGGCUGCCCCGGCCCGGCUCGGGUCUGCGCAAGGCGGGGACAGCCACCCUCUGCUCCUUGCUGCAUUAGCGGGUUUCGCCCUCUCCUAGCAGAGCGUCCCCGGGGGGCGGCUGGGAGAUUCCUGAGGAGAGCAGAGUGCCCGGAAGGAGCGGCAGGAGGAGGCGGGCGAGGAGAGCAUCCCCUCUCCGCUGCCGCCGCUGAAGCCGUGCAGAGCUGUCGGUGUGGCUCCCCAGAGUUAGUUGCUCAGCAACAAGGAUCAAUUAAUAUGCUUUGCAGAAAGUGCAGGGGAAGCCCGAGCUGCUGUCAGCGAGAAGGCAGAAGGCUGAGGUCCCUCUGAUGACGCCACGAAUCUGGGAAUGAAGAACUUCUUCAAGCUGAUUGGAAAUGGCAUUGCGGAGCUGAAACUUAACUGGAGGAAAUAUAUCUCCCAAAGAAGGAAAUAUAAUGCACUUUAAAGAUCUGACUUCUGGUGAAAAAUUCAAGCCUAGAGAAAACUUGUCUGCUUUGUUUGGAAGAAUGGGUUGGACAAUUUUCUUCAGUUCCACAGGAUAUCUGAGUGCCAUGCUGAGCUUGAUCUCUGCAGCAUGCUCUGUGCUUCUCAUCUCUUCCUGAUGCACUGCAUGUGAGUUUGAAGAGGGGUGGCUGCCCCUUGAGGAGCAAACCAAGGUGAAGGCCUGCCCCUGCCCUGAGGUGAUCUCCAUCAAGUCCUACUGGAUUUGACAGGAGAUGAAAUGCUGAGGAGCAGGUUUGAGUGGCAGUUGUCAUGGGCUCUCCAGCUGUGGAAAGAGGUCAGCUCUUUAAUUGCAAGCUCCCUGAAAGGCCAACUUCAGCACUACCCAUUGCAUAGCCCUAUAUUGUUGAUACUGAACAGCAGUUCCUACCAGCUCUAUGGUAGAUAUUAUCCUGAAGGGAACGAUAAAGAAACUGGCCACCAAGAUGGUAAUCACUAGUGGAAAUGAAGAAGAUAAAGGCAAUCAAGAAAAGGAAAGCAAAGAAGAAACCAUCUUGGCAAUGCUUGGAAUUAUUGGGACAAUUCUAAACCUCAUUGUGAUCAUUUUUGUGUACAUUUACACAACGUUGUAAACUAGCAGGCAUGCAAAUAGAACAGAUAAAACGGCCAUUAAGAGUGACAACAAACAUUGCUGACUAUUGACAAGUUGUUUAAUCAGAAUUGACUCUGUAUUAUAUUAACACAUCAUAAAAGCACUGCCUGCAGGCAGCAAAGGCUGAAGCACAAUUAAUUUAACAAGACUUCUUCACGCAGUAACAAGCUAAACUCUUCUGUCCUGCCCUCUUCCUUUCGCUUUGGUUUUUGGUUUGGGGAAAACAUGACUGCAAUUAUGUAAGUUGUAGCUUUGGAGAAAUCCACCUGGGUUAUGUUGUUUUAACACAAUUUAAAAAAAAAAAAAAAAAAAAAAAAAAAAAAAAAAGAAAAAAAUUAGAAACUGUACACUAUAUACAAUUAAAAAUGUAUACUGUAUACCUGCAAAGAUGGAACUCUAAGAUAGCUGCAUAGCACAGAUCACGUGUCCAUUAGGUCAAAUGUUAUUUUCUCUCUUGUUUUAUGCUUUUACUUACAUCGAAUCUGACAAGCUUUUUGUUUAGAAUGAACAUAUGGUGCAAUCAUGAAAGAAAAAAAACAAUUCUAUUGAGCAAGAUCUGCCUAAAACUGAUAAGAUGUUUGGAGAAAUAUGGUAUGUGGUUAUUUUAACUUUCUCAUUUGCUUAACAUCUGUGUCUGUUCAUACCAAUGUUUAUAAAUAUAUAUUUUUAAUAAAUGUGCUAUAUUUUUAGCAUGAGCCAAA